rnacentral:rRNA from 1 species
AUUGAACGCUGGCGGCAUGCUUUACACAUGCAAGUCGAACGGUAACAGGGUGCUUGCACCGCUGACGAGUGGCGAACGGGUGAGUAAUGCGUCGGAACGUGCCGAGUAGUGGGGGAUAACGCAGCGAAAGUUGUGCUAAUACCGCAUACGUACUGAGGUAGAAAGUGGGGGACCUUCGGGCCUCACGCUAUUCGAGCGGCCGACGUCUGAUUAGCUAGUAGGUGAGGUAAAGGCUCACCUAGGCGACGAUCAGUAGCGGGUCUGAGAGGAUGAUCCGCCACACUGGGGCUGAGAAACGGCCCAGACUCCGACGGGAGGCAGCAGUGGGGAAUUUUGGACAAUGGGCGAAAGCCUGAUCCAGCCAUGCCGCGUGUCUGAAGAAGGCCUUCGGGUUGUAAAGGACUUUUGUCGGGGAGGAAAUCCCCAGCGUUAAUACCGCUGGGGGAUGACAGUACCUGAAGAAUAAGCACCGGCUAACUACGUGCCAGCCGCCGCCGUAA